AAGACGCUAGUAAAACGGUGCAUUACACAGCCUUGUCAAGGCAGAAUUGUGGGUUAAAGUCCUGCGUGUCUUA
rnacentral:tRNA from 1 species